CAAGGCACAAGCUAUAUGUCUCUUAUAAAAAGGAACGGCCAAAACCUAAUCCUCAAAGAGCUCCUUCACUCUUCUCUUACAUUAUUUCCAGCUGAUUUUUGUUCAGUUUUGUGAUCUAAUGUUUCAGUUUCAGCUCCUACCCAUACAGAAUCACUCCAAAUAAGAUCUCGUUGCUUGAUUCGUCUCCGCCGCCGUUUCUGUCGACAGUCUCUGCGUCUUCUUUCCAGACAUCAUCCAGGACUCCGCAAUCAUUCAGUACUGCUGAAUGGGCUCACUUUUCGGCUCAGGUGUUUCUCCUGGUGCAGCCAAUUUUAUUUGUGCUUGUGCCGAGCAUCUGAAAUGAACAGUCCACCUGAUUAAUGUUAAUCAUAAGCUGAUUCCUCUCUGUCCGAAGCUCAAUUCUAAACGUCACAUGACUCAAAGCUUGAGGCUACUACAUUUCAUCCUUGUUCAGUAAAGGCAUUUUUAUAUACUCAAAUAAGAAUGAAUGCUGAUUCAUACUAUUCUUAUAUCUAUGUUUGUUCGAAGUGAAUAGUCUACUUGAUUAAUGUUUAUCAUAAGCUGAUUCCUCUC